GCACAGUCAAUGAACACGAAAAUAUUUGCAUAGCGGGAUAAAUCGUCGGGCUGGCGCGCUACGCCACUGUUCGUACCACAAGAUGUGGCAAUCACUAGAUAAAUUAGUCUCAUACCUAUGUUCUGGUUACCGAUUGAGUAUUCCAUCAUUGUUUUUUGUAAUCCAACACAAAUUAUACAUAUAUUCGUCAAUCGUAUAAUUUAUGCAUGAUACAUAACUUGAAAAUUCACUGAAUACCAUUUUCCUAGCCAGUCCCGGCAAUGACAUGUUCUGGCCAAUAAACACGCUGUACGCCAUGGCUGCUCCGCCUUCUGGCCAGUAAACUGCAUAUUUUUUGCAUAAAAAAUGAGAACAGGUUGCACCGCUGAGUGGCUAUCUGUUACUGAUCUUUAUUCUGCGACGAAACUCUAGCAAAAAGUUUAACGAAAAUU